rnacentral:rRNA from 1 species
UACGUAGGGACCGAGCGUUGUCCGGAAUCAUUGGGCGUAAAGAGCGUGUAGGCGGCCACUUAAGUCCUGCGUGAAAUCUUGCGGCUCAACCGCAAGCGGUCGUGGGAAACUGGGUGGCUAGAGUCCGGAAGAGGAGUGUGGAAUUCCCGGUGUAGCGGUGAAAUGCGCAGAUAUCAGGAGGAACACCAAUGGCGAAGGCAGCUCGCUGGGACGGUACUGACGCUGAGACGCGAAAGCGUGGGGAGCAAACAGG